CACCUUUCGCUCCUUCAUUUUUUCUCACAUUAGGGAUCUUGAAAAACCGUAAUUUGUUCUUGUAUUCACCCUCAUGGGAGAGUGAAUACCUGGAACACUCCUUUACACAACAAUUUAAUCCUGUCAUAUUGACUAAAGAUCACUCAACUCAGCCCAUCUCGACUCACAACCGCUAUAACUCGACUCAGCCUGGGAGAGAGUGUAUCGCAAACAUGGCGGAAAGCCGGCCAGGGGGGCGGGGCAAUGCGCUGUGACGACAACUCCUCAAGCUUUAUACUGGUCAGACCACAUUCCAGGCCAGGAGGAUAAAAUGAACCCUCUGUAGUCCCGCCAGUGUUAUUUUGGACUGUCCAGACUUGCAGAGUUUCCCCACUCAGAGUUCACUUGUCCUUGGUGGAAUUUGGAAGUCAUUUAAGAGACAGAAAAUCUUCUAUACAAGAUGAGGAAAGUCAAAUCAGUUGUUCAAGUUGUUCCUCCUAAACAAAGAGAUGCACAGUCAAGCAGAACAUUCACACAGCAGAAGAAAGAAAACACAGUCUGGAUUGUGGGUGACAGUUACAUUCAACGCAGCAAAGACCGUGCAAGAGAGACCAUCGGGACCAACCUU